rnacentral:rRNA from 1 species
UACGUAGGGUGCGAGCGUUAAUCGGAAUUACUGGGCGUAAAGCGUGCGCAGGCGGUUUUGUAAGCCAGAUGUGAAAUCCCCGGGCUUAACCUGGGAAUGGCAUUUGGGACUGCAAGGCUUGAGUGCGGCAGAGGAGACUAGAAUUCCUGGUGUAGCAGUGAAAUGCGUAGAUAUCAGGAGGAACACCGGUGGCGAAGGCGGGUCUCUGGGCCGAUACUGACGCUGAGGAGCGAAAGCAUGGGGAGCGAACAGG